rnacentral:rRNA from 1 species
AGCAGCAGCCGCGGGAAUACGGAGGGUGCAAGCGUUAUCCGGAUUCACUGGGUUUAAAGGGUGCGUAGGCGGAUCUGUAAGUCAGUGGUGAAAUCUCCAGGCUUAACCUGGAAACUGCCGUUGAUACUAUAGGUCUUGAAUUUUGUGGAGGUUAGCGGAAUAUGUCAUGUAGCGGUGAAAUGCAUAGAUAUGACAUAGAACACCAAUUGCGAAGGCAGCUGGCUACACAACUAUUGACGCUGAGGCACGAAAGCGUGGGGAUCAAACAGGAUUAGAUACCCCCGUAGUCCCUGUCUCUUAUAC